rnacentral:rRNA from 1 species
AUUGAACGCUGGCGGCAGGCUUAACACAUGCAAGUCGAGCGGGGGAAGGUAGCUUGCUACCGGACCUAGCGGCGGACGGGCGAGUAAUGCUUAGGAAUCUGCCUAUUAGUGGGGGACAACAUCUCGAAAGGGAUGCUAAUACCGCAUACGUCCUACGGGAGAAAGCAGGGGAUCUUCGGACCUUGCGCUAAUAAAUGAGCCUAAGUCGGAUUAGCUAGUUGGUGGGGUAACGGCCUACCAAGGCGACGCUCUGUAGCGGGUCUGAGAGGAUGAUCCGCCACACUGGGACUGAGACACGGCCCAGACUCCUACGGGAGGCAGCAGGGGGGAAUAUUGGACAAUGGGGGGAACCCUGAUCCAGACAUGCCGCGUGUGUGAAGAAGGCCUUAUGGUUGUAAAGCACUUUAAGCGAGGAGGAGGCUACUUUAGUUAAUACCUAGAGAUAGUGGACGUUACUCGCAGAAUAAGCACCGGCUAACUCUGUGCCAGCCGCCGCGGUAAUAC